AGGUGCAAGCAAUGCACCUGACUUACUGGAAGGGUGGACCCAGGAUUCAUCCUUUCUCAGACUUCAUUUAAGGGCUGGCAGUGGAGGUUUCUGGGAUUUCUACCUGCUGUAGUCUUUCCAAAGGUAGCCUUGGAAACAAGACCUUCUGUGGGUGGUGCUGCUCUAUUACAAUUCAGCCAUCUUCUCAACAGGAUCAACAAUACAGAGAGGAAAGUAGAACUGAGGUGCCAAAGCCAGUGAUUGCAGUAGGAAUGCAGAAUGUCUAAAGGAGGAAAAAGAGCCAUGUCAACUGAUGAUUCAUUCCAAUCACUGAAAUCUUAAAUGCAUUUUGCUGCAUGUAUGUUUAUGAACUUUGUUGACUGGGAGAUUGGAUGUGGCAGAUAGGAACAAGUGAAAGUAAGGAUUUUAAAUUCAGUUGCUGAAUUUUUAAGACUGAUUUUUAAACAGCGUGCCUGUUGGCAGGGGAGGGAGAUAUAUGCAAAUAGGUACAUAUGUAUAUGUAUAGGUAUAGAGAAACAUCUACAAAGAACUAGCAACACAGAAGGUAAAUAGCAUGUGUACUCUACCUACUUUUUAUACGAUAUUAAAUACAAUAUAUAUGCUGUAUAGUUUCUGUAAACAUGUGCAAGCGUAUACAAUUUCUCUAUAUGUCCUAAUUUUUUUUUAAUAUUACCUUUUCUUGCAAUCCGCAAAUCAGAUCAUCUUACGCAUAUUCUGUUAGUACUCUGUUUAUACUUGUUUAAAUAAUCUUGUAUUACCUAUGGUUUUGAAUAUUUUAACAAAAUAUCAGUGAAACAAUGUAAUUACUUUUCAAUUCUUUUACAAAUAUAUACCAUGAGGUGCAUAGCAGUGUCACUGACUCAGCAGGUGCCGAAGUACUUAAUAUUGCAGAACCUUCCUGCCAUUCCCAGUUACUCCUUUUUCAGUGUAGCUUUUGUUAGUCUGAGACAAAAUAGCUUUCCUGUUUCAGACUUUGAGCCUUUCUGAUUCAGAGGCUUUUCAAAUGAAUCAUUGAGCUCUGAUAUAGAACAGAUCUUGAGAACUGCCAGGACAGAGGUGUGUUUCCAACAGUCACUGACACACUCCCAUGUGUGUUACCAACAGCCUUUCACUGAUUUCUCUUUUCCUUGCUGCUUAUACUUUUUUGUGCAGAAUUGAACACUAACCCAUAGCAUUCAUUUAUUAAAGCUUUUUUCCACCACUCUUAACCUUCCACUCUAUUCUCUAUUUUUUUCCGUCUUCAUAGAUAAAUACGAAUCCUUUAACUACUAAUCAAACACACUUUUCCAGUUCUUGAUUUAUAAUAUUAUAUUGUAACUUUCUGCCUUCUUAUUACACAAUGCCUUGUGUUGGAAAGAAACUUAAAGAUAAUCCUGCUCCAAACGCUGUGACAUGGGGCAAGGUUGUCACCUACUAACCUUGGAGCCACCCAGGGCUCCAUCCAAACUGGCCUUGAGCAUCUCUAAGGAUGGAGAAAUUCAUCCACAGGUUCGUUACUCAUACAAUAAGUUCCUGUGGUUGGUAAGAUUAUAUUUAGGACAAAGUUAUGUGUAA